rnacentral:rRNA from 1 species
UACAGAGGUCUCAAGCGUUGUUCGGCUUCAUUGGGCGUAAAGGGUGCGUAGGUGGCGCGCUAAGUCGGGUGUGAAAUUUCGGAGCUUAACUCCGAAACUGCAUUUGAUACUGGCGUGCUUGAGGACUGGAGAGGAGACUGGAAUUCAUGGUGUAGCAGUGAAAUGCGUAGAGAUCAUGAGGAAGACCAGUGGCGAAGGCGGGUCUCUGGACAGUUCCUGACACUGAGGCACGAAGGCCAGGGGAGCAAACGGG